GACGGCAGAGGAAGGAGGGGGAGGGGCAAUGGGGUGGGGGGCUCGGGGCGAAAGUUUCCCCUCGGCUGCUCGCUGGGGUGGGGAAGGAGCGCGGAGCCCGGAGCCCGGGAUGGAGAGAGCGAGCUCUGGUUCCUGAGGCCUCUCUCCCGAAAAGCCCCAGCAAAAGAACGUACGAAGAGCCAUGAAAAUGGAGACUUGCUCCUUCCUGCACCUGUGACCCCUCCAUGGCCCGGAGCGCCUCAAUACCCCAUUCAGCCCCUGGGAGGGGCCCUACCUAGCCCAGGCCCCCUCAGCCCUGGGGCCCCCAGCCCUGUGGGGGUGGGUGGGAAGGGGCGAUUUCCUAGCUGCUGAGGAGGAGGUGAGAGGGGACGAGAGGUACGGCAGAUCCCCACCACCACCACGCCGCCGUCCUGGGCUCUUUUCACAUUGUGCUACUGUCUGAGCCCCUGCCAAGCAGUGCAAUGUCAAAAGGGCAUCGGGCAGGCGGUGCCGGCAGCGCCUGGCCCAGCGCCUCCACCACUCUGCCUCUGGGGGCCUGGGAGAAGGAGGGCAGAGCGAGGAUCUGCAGGGGGACACAGACCACCCUUCCCAGAGUGGGGCAGAGGAGGGGAUGAAGUGGGUGCUGUGCUCAUGGCAGGGGGCUUUGAUGCUGAAGAGGGGGGCUGUGCUUGGGGCAGGGGUGUCAGGAAUUCAGCUGCCUAGCAACCUAAAGAGCUCGUUUGGUUCAAUAACCCUAAGUGACUGUGCUCCCUGAUUGAACCGAAGGGCCAUCAGGUCACCAAUUAACCCCUGUAGCAACCGCAGCGCAGUGGCUGCUCAACGCAUUCCAUGCUCCCAGCUGCGCCAGACCCACUUCCUGCUGGCCCUUGCCCCGCUCUUUGCAAGCUCCACUACCGCUCUUCCCUUUGGACUCCUGCCCCUUGCCUCUGACUAAUGGCUUGUCCCCUGGCCACGACGCCAGUUCUGCCCUCUGAUUCUGCUCCAUCCCCUAGGCCAGACUCCUGCUCGGACCCCUUGGUCUCGCCACCUACACCUUGGCGUGUGACAGUUUGAGCUGCCUGCUAGAAGGUAG
rnacentral:lncRNA from 1 species